UAGGGAAUCUUCCACAAUGGACGCAAGUCUGAUGGAGCAACGCCGCGUGAGUGAAGAAGGUUUUCGGACCGUAAAGCUCUGUUGUUGGUGAAGAAGGAUAGAGGUAGUAACUGGCCUUUAUUUGACGGUAAUCAACCAGAAAGUCACGGCUAACUACGUGCCAGCAGCCGCGGUAAUACGUAGGUGGCAAGCGUUGUCCGGAUUUAUUGGGCGUAAAGCGAGCGCAGGCGGAAGAAUAAGUCUGAUGUGAAAGCCCUCGGCUUAACCGAGGAAUUGCAUCGGAAACUGUUUUCUUGAGUGCAGAAGAGGAGAGUAGAACUCCAUGUGUAGCGGUGGAAUGCGUAGAUAUAUGGAAGAAUACCAGUGGCGAAGGCGGCUCUCUGGUCUGCAACUGACGCUGAGGCUCGAAAGCAUGGGUAGCGAACAGGAUUAGAUACCCUGGUAGUCCAUGCCGUAAACGAUGAGUGCUAAGUGUUGGGAGGCUUCCGCCUCUCAGUGCUGCAGCUAACGCAUUAAGCACUCCGCCUGGGGGAGUACGACCGCAAGGUUGAAACU
rnacentral:rRNA from 1 species